rnacentral:lncRNA from 1 species
AAAAAGAUGAUGCAUGUGAACCUCUACAUAUGGUUGUUGGAUGCUUACAUUUGUUUAAUGGAACUAAAACAUUUAUUCUCUUUUUCUUCAUCCUUCCAUCAACUGUCCUCCAUGCCCAACCAGUUUCUACCCUGCUGAUUUUCUGCCUUUAGAAACAAAGAAGAAUUCAGCUUUUCUUCAUGAUGUAGGAUGCUGUAUGUACUUGGAGCCAUCCUCAGUCACAGCUGCCUUUUCGUGGAUCCAAGAUGGUUCUCUACCUGGCUGGUGCCAUGCCGCCUGCUAUUUUACUGUACACAUGAUGACAAAGUAAAGGGAAGAUGUGGCCUCCAUGUUGAACAUGGCUGACUCUCAGGUAGCCCUUUUCUGUUGGUACAGCUGCUGGCAUUCACCUGUGCAAGAUUCCAGCUUGCAUUUCUGCAGCUUGAUUUUUCAGGCUGCUCUUUGUUAGAAAAGAAAUGAUUUGGGGACUGCAUUUUGUCAAAAGGGAAGCCUUGCUGAGGACCCCUUUACCCUCGCUAUCUGCCUAAAUAAUUUCUUUCCAGCCCCUAUAUCAAUAUUAUCGCAGAGUUAUCACUGUCUGUGUUUCUCUCCCGCAUAAGACUGUGAUACUCAAAGGUCAGAGUUGCAGGCGUGUAGUAGGGAUUCACUGAAUACUCAGUGCAGGGAGUGGAGAAGGGAAGAGCUAAUGGCUGGGGUCCUUCCCAAAAGGACAAGGAGACCAGCCACCCCAGCUUCAAUCCUUCUCCCUCCUGCUUUUCUCUGGUUCCCCAGGACAGAGCCCAAGAAGCAGCAGGAGCUGCGUCAGCCUCACUAAAUAAAAACGGCUCUUUAAAAACAUCAUUAGAAACUCAUUUACCGCAAGCCACCAAAACCGCGUGAGGCAGAGAAAAUCGGCCCAUCCCCGACUGUCUUUCUCGUGUUCCAUUUGCUCUUUUCUUUUGUCUGUUUUUUUCCCUCAUGUUUUGCUGAUUCUCUUCAUUUCCAAAGAAUUAUUUCCACUGCUCCUUGCCGCCAAGUCCCCAAACAAUCACGCAC